ensembl:lncRNA
UGGAAAUUCUCAGUCCACAGCGUGGGGUUGUAGAAAGCUAAGUUGCUCAUGUGUUAGGCCACACCAGCCCCAGGAACUGCUUCUGAAAGGCUGGAUAUGCUGGUAUGGAGUGAUGGCCAGUCCCCCACACCAGGCCCUGAAAUCAGGGUAGCUGGGCCUGCUGCUCAAGGUCCAACACAAACCCUCAAGAAACUGGGUGCUGGUCCCAGAUCUCCUUCUCAUCAUGGUCCAGAUGUGGACAACUGUCAUCUGCCCCUUCUGGGACGAGGGAAGGAAGCCCUGUGUGAGCUGGAG